CCUACGGGAGGCAGCAGUGGGGAAUAUUGCACAAUGGGGGAAACCCUGAUGCAGCGACGCCGCGUGAGUGAAGAAGUCCUUCGUUGCUUAAAGCUCUAUCAGCCGGGGAGAAACACUGACCUUACGGUCAGCAGACGGUACCUGAGUAAGAAGACCCGGCUAACUCCGUGCCAGCAGCGCCGGUAAUACGUAGGGGGCAAGCGUUAUCCGGUUUUACUGGGUGUAUAGGGGGAGUAGACGGGGCGACAAGUCGUGAGUGAAAUGCCACGGCUUAAAUGUGGAAGUGCUUUGGAAACUGGCGAUCUAGAGGGCGUGAGGGGUAAGCGGAAUGCAUGGUGUAGCGGUGAAAUGCGUAGAUAUCAGGAGGAACACCGGUUGCGAAGGCGGCUUACUGGACCGUAACUGACGUUGAGGCUCGAAAGCGUGGGGAGCAAACAGGAUUAGAUACCCCUGUAGUC
rnacentral:rRNA from 1 species